CGGAGCGUAGAGUAGCGGUCUAUCUCGCAAGUCUGGGGGACUUGAAAUCGCCUGUUCAAAUCAGGUCGCUCCGACCA
rnacentral:tRNA from 1 species